rnacentral:rRNA from 1 species
CCUACGGGUGGCAGCAGUCGAGAAUCAUUCACAAUGGGGGAAACCCUGAUGGUGCGACGCCGCGUGGGGGAAUGCAGGUCUUCGGAUUGUAAACCCCUGUCAUGUGGGAGCAAAUUAAAAAGAUAGUACCACAAGAGGAAGAGACGGCUAACUCUGUGCCAGCAGCCGCGGUAAUACAGAGGUCUCAAGCGUUGUUCGGAAUCACUGGGCGUAAAGCGUGCGUAGGCUGUUUCGUAAGUCGUGUGUGAAAGGCGCGGGCUCAACCCGCGGACGGCACAUGAUACUGCGAGACUAGAGUGAGGGAGGGGGAAGCGGAAUGCGCGGUGUAGCAGUGAAAUGCGUAGAUAUCGAGAAGAACACUGGUGGCGAAGGCAGGUUACUGGACAUUAACUGACGCUGAGGCACGAAGGCCAGGGGAGCGAAAGGGAUUAGAUACCCGAGUAGUC